GAUUCCCUCUGGUAUUUUUUUGCCAAAACUUAAAACUCUUUCAUCCCUCUCUCUCUUCUCUCUUGCGAUACCUACUCUGCUCCCUCACAAAUUUCAGACUUUCCCUCAAAAAAUUUCAGACUUUCCCCCAAAAAUUUCAGUCUCCCUUACAAAAAAUUUACCCUACAUGCCCUCAAUUGCAAUCGAACUCCAAACUCUAUCUUCUCUCUCUCCUAUCUCCUCCAUCUGAUGUUUCGAUUUUGAGAAACGACCUUGAGCUAGUGAGAUCCUAUUCUAAAAGCAACUUUUGAGACCAUGAACUCCUCAGGGAGCAUACUUUCAUCCCUUUUUCAUUCAAAAGAACAUCUCUGUUGGUGCCUCCGGUGCUCUUUUUGGGCUUCUUGGAGCAAUGGUUUCAGAACUGAUUACCAAUUGGACUAUUUAUACCAACAAGGAAUCAUAUAUUGUGUGAGUGAGAAUGUCAAUGUGAAGUUGGUUGGAUACAGAAACUUAUCCAAAGCCAGAGAAGGCAGAAUUUAGUGUUCAUUUGUAUAUCACUCUCAGGGAUUGUUUCAUAGGUCUCACAUACUAGAAGGCUUUUAGUGUUCAUUUUUAUCUAUCACUCUCAGGGAUGGCAGAAUUAAAUUAUUUGGCAAAGAUAACACUCAAGCUCUGCAGUACCAAGCAAGUUUUUACAGUUUGUGGAGAACCAAGGCAUGCUUGUAAAUGUGAAUUCCAAGAACCAUAUUGAGGCAAGU